rnacentral:sRNA from 1 species
UGCAUAUCAAUAAGCGGAGGAAAAGAAACCAACAGGGAUUGCCCUAGUAACGGCGAGUGAAGCGGCAACAGCUCAAAUUUGAAAUCUGGCCUCGGCCCGAGUUGUAAUUUGCAGAGGAUGCUUCUGGCGCGGUGCCUUCCGAGUUCCCUGGAACGGGACGCCACAGAGGGUGAGAGCCCCGUAUGGUCGGACACCAAGCCUGUGUGAAGCUCCUUCGACGAGUCGAGUAGUUUGGGAAUGCUGCUCUAAAUGGGAGGUAAAUCUCUUCUAAAGCUAAAUACCGGCCAGAGACCGAUAGCGCACAAGUAGAGUGAUCGAAAGAUGAAAAGCACCUUGAAAAGGGGGUUAAAUAGUACGUGAAAUUGUUGAAAGGGAAGCACUUAUGACCAGACUUGGGCCGGGCGGCUCAUCAGGGGUUCUCCCCUGUGCACUCCGCCCGGCACAGGCCAGCAUCGGUUCUCGUGGGGGGAUAAGACCGUCAGGAACGUAGCACCCUCCGGGGUGUGUUAUAGCCUGGCGGACGAUACCCCCGUGGGGACCGAGGUCCGCGCUCCGCAAGGAUGCUGGCGUAAUGGUCAUCAGUGACCCGUCUUGAAACA